AGUGGCGGACGGGUGAGUAACGCGUGGGUAACCUGCCCUGUACAGGGGGAUAACAGUCAGAAAUGACUGCUAAUACCGCAUAAGACCGCAGCACCGCAUGGUGCAGGGGUAAAAACUCCGGUGGUACAGGAUGGACCCGCGUCUGAUUAGCUGGUUGGUGAGGUAACGGCUCACCAAGGCGACGAUCAGUAGCCGGCUUGAGAGAGUGAACGGCCACAUUGGGACUGAGACACGGCCCAAACUCCUACGGGAGGCAGCAGUGGGGAAUAUUGCACAAUGGGGGGAACCCUGAACGAGCAAUGCCGCGUGAGUGAGGAAGGUCUUCGGAUCGUAAAGCUCUGUUGUAAGAGAAAAACGGCACUCAUAGGGAAUGAUGAGUGAGUGAUGGUAUCUUACCAGAAAGUCACGGCUAACUACGUGCCAGCAGCCGCGGUAAUACGUAGGUGGCGAGCGUUAUCCGGAAUGAUUGGGCGUAAAGGGUGCGUAGGUGGCAGAUCAAGUCUGGAGUAAAAGGUAUGGGCUCAACCCGUACUGGCUCUGGAAACUGAUCAGCUAGAGAACAGAAGAGGACGGCGGAACUCCAUGUGUAGCGGUAAAAUGCGUAGAUAUAUGGAAGAACACCGGUGGCGAAGGCGGCCGUCUGGUCUGGAUUCUGACACUGAAGCACGAAAGCGUGGGGAGCAAAUAGGAUUAGAUACCCUAGUAGUCCACGCCGUAAACGAUGAGAACUAGGUGUUGGGGGAAUAACUCAGUGCCGCAGUUAACGCAGUAAGUUCUCCGCCUGGGGAGUAUGCACGCAAGUGUGAAACUCAAAGGAAUUGACGGGGGCCCGCACAAGCGGUGGAGUAUGUGGUUUAAUUCGAAGCAACGCGAAGAACCUUACCAGGCCUUGACAUCCCUUGCAGAGGUAUAGAGAUAUAUCCGAGGUUAUCAAGGAGACAGGUGGUGCAUGGUUGUCGUCAGCUCGUGUCGUGAGAUGUUGGGUUAAGUCCCGCAACGAGCGCAACCCUUAUCCUCAGUAGCCAGCAGGUCAAGCUGGGCACUCUGUGGAGACUGCCAGGGAUAACCUGGAGGAAGGUGGGGAUGACGUCAAAUCAUCAUGCCCCUUAUGAUCUGGGCUACACACGUGCUACAAUGGCGUAAACAAAGGGAGGCAAAGCCGCGAGGUGGAGCAAAUCCCAAAAAUAACGUCUCAGUUCGGACUGCAGUCUGCAACUCGACUGCACGAAGCUGGAAUCGCUAGUAAUCGCGAAUCAGAAUGUCGCGGUGAAUACGUUCCCGGGUCUUGUACUCACCGCCCGUCAA
rnacentral:rRNA from 1 species